AUGCUCCUGCUAAAGAUCGACAUCGCCAAGGCUUUCGACACGGUGUCAUGGGAGUACAUCCUCGAGCUGCUGCAACGCAUGAACUUCCUGGCGCGCUGGAGAGACUGGAUCGCACUACUCCUCUCCACCGCGUCUUCCGCCUACCUGCUAAACGAAGACCCGGGCCCUGCGAUUCUUCAUCACCGAGGGCUGCGGCAAGGCGACCCGCUCUCGCCG
rnacentral:rRNA from 1 species